rnacentral:rRNA from 1 species
GACAGAGGGGGCAAGCGUUGCUCGGAAUCACUGGGCGUAAAGGGCGCGUAGGCGGCCAUGCGUGUCUUCCGUGAAAUCCCUCGGCUUAACUGAGGACGUGCGGAAGAAACUGCAAGGCUCGAGUCCGGGAGAGGGGGGUGGAAUUCCCAGUGUAGCGGUGAAAUGCGUAGAUAUUGGGAGGAACACCGGUGGCGAAGGCGGCCCCCUGGACCGGUACUGACGCUGAGGCGCGAAAGCGUGGGUAGCAAACGGG